CCCAAUGGUGCCAAUAGCACAAACUUGAAAGUCCGGCCAUUUUUUUUUCGCGUUUAAAUGUGACAUUUUCGAAGCGAGUUGUCAAGGAAAUUGACCAUGGAAGUUUAUUGGAUAUCCAUUAGAGCCGUUUUGGGUAAGGAAAAGCAACUUUCUGCCGACAUUCUCUUAACAUAACCUCCACCAGAAUGUCCACAUUAUACUUCUACAUUCUUACACACACCCAAAUAUCAUGGGGGCAAAUGAAAAAUGCAUUUGCUGUUCAAUUAUUUACUUACAUACCUUUAUUGAUUGUUUAAUAUAUAUAUCUAUAUAAUAAAGUAGAUUCACAUCACGUAAAA